rnacentral:rRNA from 1 species
CUACGGGUUGCUGCAGUGAGGAAUAUUGGUCAAUGGGCGCAAGCCUGAACCAGCCAUGCCGCGUGCAGGAUGACGGCCCUAUGGGUUGUAAACUGCUUUUAUUAAGGAAUAACCCCCCGGUCGUGCAUCGGGGCUGAACGUACUUAAAGAAUAAGCAUCGGCUAACUCCGUGCCAGCAGCCGCGGUAAUACGGAGGAUGCAAGCGUUAUCCGGAUUCAUUGGGUUUAAAGGGGUCGCAGGCGGCGUAUUAAGUCAGUGGUGAAAUCCCUCGGCUCAACCGAGGAACUGCCAUUGAUACUGGGAUGCUAGAGUAUAGGUGGCGUAGGCGGAAUAUUUCAUGUAGCGGUGAAAUGCUUAGAUAUGAAAUAGAACACCGAUCGCGAAGGCAGCUUACGAAGCUAUAACUGACGCUCAGGAACGAAAGCGUGGGGAGCGAACAGGAUUAGAUACCCUAGUAGUC